rnacentral:rRNA from 1 species
CUGAGUACGGCGGAACACGUGAAAUUCCGUCGGAAUCCGGGAGGACCAUCUCCCAAGGCUAAAUACUCCCUAGUGACCGAUAGUGAACCAGUACCGUGAGGGAAAGGUGAAAAGCACCCCGGAAGGGGAGUGAAACAGUUCCUGAAACCGUGUGCCUACAAGUAGUUAGAGCCCGUUAAUGGGUGAUAGCGUGCCUUUUGUAGAAUGAACCGGCGAGUUACGAUUUGUUGCAAGGUUAAGCGGAAAAAGCGGAGCCGUAGCGAAAGCGAGUCUGAAUAGGGCGCAUAAGUAACAGGUCGUAGACCCGAAACCAGGUGAUCUACCCAUGUCCAGGAUGAAGGUAAGGUAAUACUUACUGGAGGUCCGAACCCACGCACGUUGAAAAGUGCGGGGAUGAGGUGUGGGUAGCGGAGAAAUUCCAAUCGAACUUGGAGAUAGCUGGUUCUCUCCGAAAUAGCUUUAGGGCUAGCCUCGAGGUAAAGAGUCAUGGAGGUAGAGCACUGUUUGGACUAGGGGCCCUUCUCGGGUUACCGAAUUCAGAUAAACUCCGAAUGCCAUGUACUUAUACUCGGGAGUCAGACUGCGAGUGAUAAGAUCCGUAGUCGAAAGGGAAACAGCCCAGACCACCAGUUAAGGUCCCCAAAUAUAUGUUAAGUGGAAAAGGAUGUGGGGUUGCUUAGACAACCAGGAUGUUGGCUUAGAAGCAGCCACCAUUGAAAGAGUGCGUAAUAGCUCACUGGUCGAGUGACCCCGCGCCGAAAAUGUACCGGGGCUAAACAUAUUACCGAAACUGUGGAUGAACCUCUUUAGAGGUUCGUGGUAGGAGAGCGUUCUAAGGGCGGUGAAGUCAGACCGGAAGGACUGGUGGAGCGCUUAGAAGUGAGAAUGCCGGUAUGAGUAGCGAAAGAAGGGUGAGAAUCCCUUCCACCGAAUAUCUAAGGUUUCCUGAGGAAGGCUCGUCCGCUCAGGGUUAGUCGGGACCUAAGCCGAGGCCGAUAGGCGUAGGCGAUGGACAACAGGUAGAGAUUCCUGUACCAGUGCUAAUUGUUUAACCGAUGGGGUGACACAGAAGGAUAGGGAAUCGCACGAAUGGAAAUGUGCGUCCAAGCAGUGAGUGUGAGAAGUAGGCAAAUCCGCUUCUCGCGAAGCAUGAGCUGUGAUGGGGAAGGAAAUUAAGUACGGAAGUUCCUGAUUUCACGCUGUCAAGAAAAGCCUCUAGGAAGAGUAGUACUGCCCGUACCGCAAACCGACACAGGUAGAUGAGGAGAGAAUCCUAAGGUGAGCGAGAGAACUCUCGUUAAGGAACUCGGCAAAAUGACCCCGUAACUUCGGGAGAAGGGGUGCUCUAUUAGGGUGCAAGCCCGAGAGAGCCGCAGUGAAUAGGCCCAGGCGACUGUUUAGCAAAAACACAGGUCUCUGCAAAACCGUAAGGUGACGUAUAGGGGCUGACGCCUGCCCGGUGCUGGAAGGUUAAGAGGAGUGCUUAGCUUCGGCGAAGGUACGAAUUGAAGCCCCAGUAAACGGCGGCCGUAACUAUAACGGUCCUAAGGUAGCGAAAUUCCUUGUCGGGUAAGUUCCGACCCGCACGAAAGGCGCAACGAUCUGGGCACUGUCUCAACGAGAGACUCGGUGAAAUUAUAGUACCUGUGAAGAUGCAGGUUACCCGCGACAGGACGGAAAGACCCCGUGGAGCUUUACUGCAACCUGAUAUGGAAUGUUUGUACCGCUUGUACAGGAUAGGUAGGA